ACGGAAGGCAGCAGUGGGGAAUAUUGCACAAUGGGCGAAAGCCUGAUGCAGCGACGCCGCGUGAACGAAGAAGUAUUUCGGUAUGUAAAGUUCUAUCAGCAGGGAAGAUAAUGACGGUACCUGACUAAGAAGCACCGGCUAAAUACGUGCCAGCAGCCGCGGUAAUACGUAUGGUGCAAGCGUUAUCCGGAUUUACUGGGUGUAAAGGGAGCGCAGGCGGUACGGCAAGUCUGAUGUGAAAGCCCGGGGCUCAACCCCGGUACUGCAUUGGAAACUGUCGAACUAGAGUGUCGGAGGGGUAAGUGGAAUUCCUAGUGUAGCGGUGAAAUGCGUAGAUAUUAGGAGGAACACCAGUGGCGAAGGCGGCUUACUGGACGAUAACUGACGCUGAGGCUCGAAAGCGUGGGGAGCAAACAGGAUUAGAUACCCUGGUA
rnacentral:rRNA from 1 species